rnacentral:rRNA from 1 species
CCCUACGGGACGCAGCAGUGGGGAAUAUUGCACAAUGGGGGAAACCCUGAUGCAGCAACGCCGCGUGGGUGAAGGAGCGUUUCGGCGCGUAAAGCCCUGUCAGCGGGGAAGAAGAAAGACGGUACCCGACCAAGAAGCCCCGGCUAACUACGUGCCAGCAGCCGCGGUAAUACGUAGGGGGCAAGCGUUAUCCGGAUUUACUGGGUGUAAAGGGAGCGUAGACGGAAAGGCAAGUCAGAAGUGAAAGCCCAAGGCUCAACCAUGGGACUGCUUUUGAAACUGUCAAACUAGAGUACGGGAGAGGU